GAAUCGCCGUGUGAUUCCUGGCACAAGACGCAACGCGAGCCGCGCGCUCGCGAGAUGAAACCCCGCUCCUAAGCGGCGGAUCUCGGGGCUGGGGUCCCCCUGGACCCGCGGAGCUGCCUGCGUUAGCAGGGUCCUGUGAUCAGCGAGUGAUCGGUCCGGGCGGGCCGGGCGGCUGGCGUGAUCAAACGGCCCUGCCGCCGUGUUGACAGAAAGAAGCAAAAAACGAAUGUGAGAAUCAGCGUCCCGGGCGGCAUCCCCGUGACCACGUUCACCGGUCAGCCCCGAAACGGCCACGUUCUCCGACUCAGAGGAUGUUGGCAGUAAGAGAGGAGAGCGUACCCGAGUUAGCUUUGUAAAAAUGUGCGUCUCUGAGAAUCUGAUCCUGUGUCUCACGGCCUCUUGUAGAGACGGAAGGCACUGCGACAGUGUUAAAACCCAGCUGGUAAGUGUGGAGACGUUGGUAGGAGCCCUUGAGUGGAAACGUGUUAGGAACAACAAGACGUGAGCCCUUGUAACUCUCCAAGGAAGGUAUCACGGAGGGCCAUGGGUUGAGCCACGUUGCCUCCUGCCCAGUGGGACCUUAUUUGCAGGUGGGACCUUCACAGAUGUCGUCAAGUUAAGACGAGGUCACUAGGUUGGGUCUGAAUCCAAUGGGGCUCCUGUCCUUACAAGAAGACGAGACCAGAACAGAAGCAUGUGACCACAGGGGCAGAGAUGUGUGUGACGCGUCCACAUGCCCAAGAACACCAAUGAUCACCAGUGGCCACCAGAAGCUGGAGAAAAGCCUUGAGCAGACACUCCCCUGGAGAGACCAGAAGGAGUUACCCGGGGUGACGCCUUGAUUUCAAACUUUUGGUCUCCAGAACUAUGGGAGAAUGAAUUCCUGUCAUCGGAAGCCCCCUGGUCUGCGGAAAUGACGUACCCGGACACAGAGGCUUGUAUUGUCAAUCGACAGGCUCUUACCGUGUGGCUCCCAUCAUCUGUGGGGGGUUAGGAGUCUAACAACUGGGAGUAGAAAAGGAGGUGCCCCCAGAGCAUUGUGUCUGACCCUCCCCCACCCCUAGAACUGCUGAGGCACACCUGCUGUCUUCAGCCACUACCCCUGAAAAGCUCAGUAUUGGUCACCCUGUGUAGGACCAGGGGAAAGAAAGAGAAACCCUUAUAUUUUCAUUGGCUCUUGGUGACCGAAACCCUGCCAAGAACACAAAACACCAGGGUUGCCUGAAAUGUGAGGUUUUCCCAUCCGAAGCUCUUAGCACGGUUCACGCUUCUCCCAACUUCUCACUGACCUCUGCGUCUGCCCUGGUCUUUCCCCAGCCUCCCGGUGCCCCCAUUUUCAAGUUCACUAACCUCCAGCAGAAAGAUCAGCCCGCCGGUGGAUUCCCUCACUGGUUCUCGUCAGUACCGUGACCGCAUAACCUGCUGGUGUGCGUGAAGCUCUGUGGGAAAGACAGGAUUUUGCUGCUGUUUCGUAAAUUUAUAAGUAUCCGUUCGCCGGGGAACAGGUCUGCCUUGGGUUCAACCAUACUGUAACAGGUCAGGUUGCUGACUUCAUGUUGGCUCAACCAAGCUCAUGGUCCUUGCGAUAAUGAGAUGUAUAAAAUGCCAUAACAUGUUUUAACACGAGUGUGUGCCCACAUGGGAAACGUAAAAGAAAAUGGAGACAAUUCAGGGUGUGUUAGAGGUUCUUAAAGAGCAAAGUAGACUUCAAAAGGACCUGGUUAUACAGUAAAACCUUGGAUUUCGAGCGUUCUCCAAGAUGAGCAAACAUGUCUAACAAAUUUUAACUUGA